rnacentral:rRNA from 1 species
GACGAACGCUGGCGGCGUGCUUAACACAUGCAAGUCGAACGGAAAGGCCUCUUUCGGGGGGUACUCGAGUGGCGAACGGGUGAGUAACACGUGAGUAACCUGCCCUUGACUUUGGGAUAACUUCAGGAAACUGGGGCUAAUACCGGAUAGGAGCUCCUGCUGCAUGGUGGGGGUUGGAAAGUUUCGGCGGUUGGGGAUGGACUCGCGGCUUAUCAGCUUGUUGGUGGGGUAGUGGCUUACCAAGGCGUUGACGGGUAGCCGGCCUGAGAGGGUGACCGGCCACAUUGGGACUGAGAUAAGGCCCCGACUCCUACGGGAGGCAGCAGGGGGGAAUAUUGCACAAUGGGUGGAAGCCUGAUGCAGCAACGCCGUGUGCGGGAUGACGGCCUUCGGGUUGUAAACCGCUUUCGCUCAUGGCGAAGCUUUGUGUGACGGUAGUGGGUAAAGAAGCACCGGCUAACUACGUG